CCCUUUUUUUUCUUCUGAAUAACCAAAACAGCAAUAAAAAAAUCGUGUAGGGGUAGAGUAGUCAAUUUCUCUAUUUGGUGAACUGUCAUUCCUAAAUUAACGCUAGUAAAAAUUGAAAUUACUCCCCCUCAACCCACGUCUUCCGCACAACCACUUGGCUCUUCAGAAAACCCUACACCAGGCGGCGAUUCAACUCUAAUUGCAGCGUCGAAUUUGGCCAUUUUUCCGGCGACAAUACAACGUAAGUUUUAUAGUUUAUUUUAUAUGGUUUGGCCGGCGAAAGUGAUACGCCGAUUCAUCAGCAAGUUUUACAAUCGCCACCGCGCCGCCUCCCCAAUUCCUUCUCCCUGUUCGGCGGGUCUGCCACAACUUGCCGCAUCCCCUCUCGCCGUCGAUAACAGCGGUGAAUGGCAGCGUCCGCCACUCUCUCGUCGGUGCAGUGCAACCCAGUAGAUCGGACCGUCGCUCUGGUCACCGAUAUCUUCUCCGUCUGACGAAUCUAUAGUUAGUCGAAGAUUAGCGAGUAGAGGUGUAUCCACAAAGACGUUCUCUUUAAAUGUUAAAUUUGACUUGAAGCUCCCGCUAUACAAUUGUGGAGGUGAUUAAGGAAUCCAGGGAGAAGCAGACAUCACAGAGGUCACCAAGCAAGAAUUGGAUUUACUCUUGGAUGAAGAGCAUUAAGAGAGGGAAAAAAAUACAGCUCAAUAGAAUUAAGAUGAAGUGUUGGAUUUCUAUGUCAUUUAUGUUUGUUCAGAAAAAUUGUAUUGUUAUUCGACAUCUUAUAGUGACAUAUUUGUUUAAUAUGAAUAGUGAAUUGC